rnacentral:rRNA from 1 species
UGCAUAUCCAAUAAGCGGAGGAAAAGAAACCAACAGGGAUUGCCCUAGUAACGGCGAGUGAAGCGGCAACAGCUCAAAUUUGAAAUCUGGCUUAGGCCCGAGUUGUAAUUUGCAGAGGAUGCUUCUGGCGCGGUGCCUUCCGAGUUCCCUGGAACGGGACGCCACAGAGGGUGAGAGCCCCGUAUGGUCGGACACCAAGCCUGUGUGAAGCUCCUUCGACGAGUCGAGUAGUUUGGGAAUGCUGCUCUAAAUGGGAGGUAAAUCUCUUCUAAAGCUAAAUACCGGCCAGAGACCGAUAGCGCACAAGUAGAGUGAUCGAAAGAUGAAAAGCACCUUGAAAAGGGGGUUAAAUAGUACGUGAAAUUGUUGAAAGGGAAGCACUUAUGACCAGACUUGGGCCGGGCGGCUCAUCAGGGGUUCUCCCCUGUGCACUCCGCCCGGCACAGGCCAGCAUCGGUUCUCGUGGGGGGAUAAGACCGUCAGGAACGUAGCACCCUCCGGGGUGUGUUAUAGCCUGGCGGACGAUACCCCCGUGGGGACCGAGGUCCGCGCUCCGCAAGGAUGCUGGCGUAAUGGUCAUCAGUGACCCGUCUUGAACCACGGACCAAAA